rnacentral:rRNA from 1 species
CCACACUCUAGCCCAACCAACCUAUCAAAAAACAAUUUUUUUCUUAAACUAAAACAUUUAAUUCCCCUAGUAUAGGUGAUAGAAAAGGGAUACCAAUCAGGAGCAAUAGAAGUCAGUACCGUAAGGGAAAGAUGAAAUAACAAUGAAAAUAUUAAGUAAAAAAUAGCAAAGAUCAACUCUUGUACCUUUUGCAUCAUGAUUCAGCAAGAACAACCAAGCAAAACGAACUUAAGCUUGCCCCCCCGAAACCCAAGCGAGCUACUUACAGGCAGCUACACAUUGAGCAAACCCGUCUCUGUCGCAAAAGAGUGGGAUGACCUGUUAGUAGAGGUGAAAAGCCAACCGAGCUGGGUGAUAGCUGGUUGCCUGUGAAACGGACCUCAGUCCUCCCCUGACUGCCCCCUCAUUGAACACCUCAACCAGAACAACUACGUGGCCACUCAGGAGUAAUUUAAAGGGGGUACAGCCCCUUUAAAAAAGAAUACAACCUCAUUCAAGCGGAUAAUCAAUAUUAACAACCAAUGUUGUCGGCCUUUAAGCAGCCACCAAUAAAGAGUGCGUCAAAGCUCCUACCUUAAAAAUUUAAAAACAACGUGAAUCCCUCUUCCCCCAACAGGCUAAUCUAUAAAAAUAGAAGAAUUAAUGCUGAAAUGAGUAACCUGGAUUACUUCCUCCAUAGGCGCAAACUUACAUUACUACAUUAUUACUCAGAACAAUAGAUAUCUCUAACUUAACAAGACAUUUUAUCACCUUAUUCUGUUAAACCAACACAGGAGCGCCCAAUUGUGAGAGAUUAAAAUCUGUAGAAGGAACUCGGCAAACCCUUAGGGCCCGACUGUUUACCAAAAACAUAGCCUUCAGCCCCACAAGUAUUGAAGGUGAUGCCUGCCCAGUGACACUUGUUCAACGGCCGCGGUAUCCUAACCGUGCAAAGGUAGCGCAAUCAAUUGUCCCAUAAAUCGAGACUUGUAUGAAUGGCUAAACGAGGUCCUAACUGUCUCCUACAGACAAUCAGUGAAAUUGAUCUUCCCGUGCAAAAGCAGGAAUAAAACCAUAAGACGAGAAGACCCUGUGGAACUUCAAAAUCACCGACCACAACACCCAAACCCUAAAACCUACUAGGCUUUACUUAACCCCUACGCAUUGGUCCGUAUUUUUCGGCUGGGGCGGCCCUGGAGAAAAAUAGACCCUCCAGAAACAAGACCAUUCCUCUUAACUAAGAGCAACCCCUCAACGUACUAAUAGUUUCCAGACCCAGUACAACUGAACAAUGAACCAAGCUACCCCAGGGAUAACAGCGCAAUCCCCUCCAAGAGCCCAUAUCGACAAGGGGGUUUACGACCUCGAUGUUGGAUCAGGACAUCCUAAUGGUGCAGUCGCUAUUAAGGGUUCGUUUGUUCAACGAUUAAUAGUCCUACGUGAUCUGAGUUCAGACCGGAGUAAUCCAGGUCGGUUUCUAUCUAUGAUAGAUUUUUCCCAGUACGAAAGGACCGGAAAAAUAAGGCCCAUGCAACAAGUAUGCCUUCCCCUCAAGUAAGGAAUUCAACUAAACUACCUUAAAGGACUACACUCAACCCAUCCUAGAAAAGGACAG